rnacentral:rRNA from 1 species
GAUGAACGCUGUCUACAGGCUUAACACAUGCAAGUCGAGGGGAAACGACAGGGAAGCUUGCUUCCCCGGGCGUCGACCGGCGCACGGGUGAGUAACGCGUAUCCAACCUGCCUCUGACUGAGGGAUAACCCGUCGAAAGUCGGCCUAAUACCUCAUGGCAUCGUCUGCGGGCAUCCAACGACGAUUAAAGAUUUCAUCGGUCAGGGAUGGGGAUGCGUCUGAUUAGCUUGUUGGCGGGGUAACGGCCCACCAAGGCUACGAUCAGUAGGGGUUCUGAGAGGAAGGUCCCCCACAUUGGAACUGAGACACGGUCCAAACUCCUACGGGAGGCAGCAGUGAGGAAUAUUGGUCAAUGGGCGGGAGCCUGAACCAGCCAAGUAGCGUGCAGGAGGACGGCCUUAUGGGUUGUAAACUGCUUUUAUGCGGGGAUAAAGUGAGGGACGUGUCCUUCAUUGCAGGUACCGCAUGAAUAAGGACCGGCUAAUUCCGUG